rnacentral:lncRNA from 1 species
GGAGGAUCCCAGGUUCAAGGCCAGCCUGGAAAAAUCAGUGAGACUAUGUCUCAAAAUUAAAAGGGCUGGGGAAUCUAGCCCAGGGGUAGAGUGCCUCUGGGUCCCAUUCCCCAGUACCACCCAAAACCAAAAAAUAUUCCUAUAAAUGGAAGAGAAAAAUUCUAAGAUCCUGAAAAGAAAAAUGGGCAAAGAAAAUGACAGGUGGAAAAGGAAUUUAGAAUAGUUCCUAAACAUAUGGAGACAGUCAUUCAUGAUGGCAGAAAUACCAAUUGACAAAAUAAUUAAGUAUGAUAGCAUACUACUUGACAGGAAGAAAAGCAUCUUCAUAUUUUUUUAGAAAUUAAUACCACUUCUGUAGAGAACAAUCUGGCAGUGGUUGUCAGAAAUUUAAAUGUAUAUAUCCCUUUACCUAGUAAUUUCUCUUUUGGGAAUGUAUUCUGUAUAGAUACUCAAAUAUGGGUAAAAUGACUUCUGUAGAGAAGUAUGGAAUUUCACUUGAUUUCUAGUAACAGAAAGUAGCAAAAUAGUAAAUAACUACCCAGAGUGCCUAAUAGAUUAUGACAAAUCAAUACUAAGAAGCCAUAAAAGGGGGAUUUGUAUAUGUAUUAAUGUGGGAUCAUCUUUAAGGUAUAUUGUAUAGUGAACAUGCAACAUUCCCAAUAAUAUCCAUCUUAUGCUUAUAGAAUUGAUAUAUGUUUGCACUUGUGAAUGCAUUAAGUGUCUUUGGAAGUAUACCUAAAAGACUAGGAAGUGUUUUGGGAAAUACAAAUAGGUGCCAGAGGGAGAAAAAGACACCCUUUGCUUUUUAUGAGUUUGGGUUCUGUACCAUGUAGUAAUUUUGAAGUGAUUUUGCUAUGUGUAUUUUACUUGUUGUAGUGGUUUUAUGAAUUCCUUUCUCAUUUUUCGAUCAACCUGAAUCCUUGGAUAAACCCUUCAAUAUCAUAAUGUUAUAUAGUUCUGUGUUGGGAAUGAAGUAUGUCAAAAUUUGAAAAAAAAAUGGAAAAUGCAAUCAUAUCAUAAUAAAUCUUUACCAUAUAGAAUUUAUAAAUGCUGUUUUCAUAUUGGC